rnacentral:rRNA from 1 species
AUUGAACGCUGGCGGCAGGCUUAACACAUGCAAGUCGAGCGAGAGGCGGACGGGUGAGUAAUGUCUGGGAACCUGCCUGAGGGAGAGGGAAAACUACUGGAAACGGUAGCUAAUACCGCAUACCAUCAGAUGAGCCCAGAUGGGAGUAGCUAGUAGGUGGGGAAAUGGCUCACCUAGGCGACGAUCCCUAGCUAGUCUGAGAGGAUGACCAGCCACAUUGGAACUGGGACACGGUCCAGACUCCUAAGGGAGGCAGCAGUGGGGAACAUUGCAGAAUGGGCGCAAGCCUGAUGCAGCCAUGCCGCGUGUGUGAAGAAGUCCUUCGGGUUGUAAAGCACUUUCAGCGAGGAGGCGUUACUCGCAGAAGAAGCACCGGCUAACUCCGUGCCAGCAGCCGCGGUAAUUC